rnacentral:lncRNA from 1 species
CCCCUUACAGCCUCACACACACAGAGCACCACCUUCAAUCUAAAAUCCAAUUCCAAAACACAUGCAGAAAAAGGAAGCGAAAUACUUAUCAAAGUUAUGGAAACAUUCGAGUGACUACAAUACUCAAACUCGUACUCCAUCACUCAAACUUGUACUCAUUCUUCAGUCCAUCUAUUUACCUCAGGAUAAUAGCUGGUUUUACUGUUGAAGAUAAGUUAUACAACUGUUCAUGAUAAGUUUCAGAGAAAACCACUAUCGAAAAAAACUCGGCUUUCUUAAGGCAAGAAUUGAAGAACUCAAGUCAGUACUCACUUGUUUCAAGUCAUCUUCAUAGUCUUCAAUGUCAUCAUUUAUGUCAGCCUCUACUCCCCUGAACUUGAUUGCAGCUCUAUCAUACACUCAUACACUACAGAAAAUAAUUUAUAAUAAGCAACUAACUAAUCAUUAAAAUUUCUACAUGUUCUUGGAGAAAUUUUUUUUGUUUCCCCAGAAAAUUUAAGAUUUUUUAUGGCAAGCAAAAUAGUACUCACCAAGCAGCUGCAUGUGCUGUGUCGAAUCAACCUAUAGUGUGUCCAAAACAAAAUAAAAAAUAAAAAACCCAUCAGAAAGACCAACAUGGAUUUAAUUGCAAUGAUAAAACAGGUAUCCUUUUGUCAAUUCAUACAAAGAGGUACGGAAACUUCAAAGUGGCAUAUUUCAAUUCAUAGUUGGUGAUAUACUGAUAUACAUACUACUCCCUCACCUUAUAAAACAGGAAAAACCAUGAAUGAUGAUAAGCCAAUUGAGUAUGGUACAAAGAAAAACACACCAUUCAAACCAUAAAGUUGAGCCACAAAGAAACAUUAACAUUGUAGGCAAAGUUGAAAGUGACCUAC